rnacentral:lncRNA from 1 species
GUUGCCGUUGUCUAACCUGAUUUAUCCAAUAGCUUUUCCAACAGCCCUGGACAGCUCGUUCCAUACUGUAUGUCAGUGGCAAUUGGUAAUUUUUGCCAAAUCAAUGCAAAUACAUAGUUUGGUAUCUUUUAUGUUGUAAAGUUUCCCGACGUUUAUGGCUGUAUAAUAUUGGUUUGGCAAGAAUUAUUAAGAGGAAAGGUCACAUCCAAAGAGAGGCAAUAAGGUGACAAAUGAACUGUCAAAGAGCACACUCACAAACACCAUUAAAAUCAGGAGUGCUGUUUGAUUGUAAAGCCUCUCAAUAGCUCUGCAAACUUUCUCCUGUUUGCAGAUUGUAUAUUUUAAAGUGAGUGGUAAAGCCACUUUUUCAAAUCAUCUGCCCACCAAACAGAUCAGAACUUUUAAGGUCUGAAUCAAAAGGCCCAGCAAAUGUCACUCAAACACUUUUGGGAACCAUUAUCCAACCGUCAAACUAACAUACUUUAGCUGGAAAGCUUCACUUGUAGACACAUAUCUCUAACUUCAAAACCAUUUUCAAAUGGAGUCAAGUUAGGGUCCUGUUCAAUACAGGCAAAAUGUCACAUUGAAGAUGGUUUUGGCAUGUAACAUAAUCCAGUGUUCUCUGUAGGCUUCUCCAGAAUGUACCAUUGUUUGGGGCCUCCCAAGUGGCGCGGCCGUCUAAGGCAGUGCAUCGCAAUGCUAGUGGCGUCUCUACAGACCCUGGUUCGAUCCCAGGCUGUGUCGCAGCCAGCCGCAACCGGGAGACCAAUGAGGUGGCGCACAAUUGGCCCAGCGUCGUCCGGGUUAGGGGAGGGUUUGGCCAGCUGGGAUGUCUCAUUGCACUCUAGCGACUCCUUGUGGUGGGCCGGGCACACGCUGACUCAUGUUGCUAGUAGUACAGCCUUUCCUCCGACACAUUGGUGUGGCUGGCUUCCCGGUUAAGUGAGCAGUGUGUCAAGAAGCAGUGCGGGAUGGGACAAGACCAAUUGGAUAUCACGAAAAAGCUCAAACAAUAAAACAAUGUCCCAUUGUUGGAUCCUCGUUUAGUUUUUAGGCACAGACUCAGAAAUUACCAUUCUUGUUUAUACCCUCAAGCUAGACUUUCGCAAUACUGUAUGUUUUUAAUAAAACCAAGUCAUUAUUCUUCCAAUGGACCAUACCAUCAUACAUUUUUUUUAAAAGUUUUCCAUCCUUCCUCACCCAGGCUACAACAACAAAAAAGAUCCAGAAACCUUCCUUCUCAUUUCUUGGAAUGCAGUCAGGUUUCAGCCAUCACUCGAGCGAACAGGGGUUUGAUGCCUCGACCUGGUUAAUGCCGCCGCAGAAACCACUUUGCUUUGUGCUUUUAUGGACAAGCGUUACUGUGACUGUAUUUAAAUUGUAUACCCUUCCCUCCCCGUGGUGUUGGAAGAAGCUGUAUUGGGAGGAGGAUGGCAUCAACAACCUGGAAAGAUGUUUGUGGUGCACUCGCUCAUAAAACUUUUUGAGUGAUAAAUCAGUGAUUUUCUUCAAGCUUGAUAAAAAGCAGUCAGUUACAAUGUAAAAAGACAGAUUGAAGGUGUCAAUCAGAGGACAGAGAAAUGUGUGUGCACCAGGUCAAGGCAUCUUGCAUGCAUGGCUUCGAGAUCAUGCAUCCAAGAAGCUUUGGACGAAGGACUUCCACAGAGCCGCCACCCUCAAAAAGACAAUAGUUCUGUACUGGGUUUGAUUUAGUUUUUGUUGUUUUAAAUAUUUACAUUUUGUAAAUGAACUUUUAAUCUCGUCUUCACAAGAAUGUUUAUGAUUUCAAGUUGUAUUGGAUUUAUUUUUUAUCUGAUAAGACAUUGAAUGCAGUACAUGUUGUUUAGUAUAUUUAGUACAUUAAGUAUGUUUAGUUCUCUGUGAGAAGCAAGUUCAUUUAAAGUUAAAUGUGAUUUGGUUCAUGUAGAUACAACAUGUCAAUGUUGUUAAUACCCAGAAACUUGAUUUUAAUCUGCAUAUUCAUACUGAAUUUGCCACAACUAUUUGCCAGAAGCCUGUUUUUUCGGUAAGGGUAGGGUUUGUUUUGAAUUAUUUAAAUUUCUAUUCCUAUAUUUCCAGUAUAGCUAGGAUGUCUGUCUGAAUAGUGACAAGAUCAGCCUGAAAGUCUGAAUUUGCAUUUGUUGAAUUGUUGGGGAUAAUAUUGAAUUGGGAAUUUAAUUAUUGGAAUUAUCUAACAUUGGAAUUCAAAGGAACUGAAUUACUGUACAUCUGAAUUCAAAGACUGACCUGGAAUUUGAAUUGAAUUAAAUGGAAUUUACAGGGAGAGAGAAUUUAAUUAUAAUUUAAUUAGUGGAAUUGACCCCGACCCUGGUGUUAGGUUUAUCCCUAAACGUCCUUUGCCACCAGUUUAAACAAAUCAUAAAUUCAUCUAAUUUGCAUGUCUGGUUACUGAGGUUAAACAAUUUCCCUCAAGGGUACAACACCAGUACUCCAACCCAGAAUCUCUACUCCUCUCAGUUACAUUCUGAGCCUAAUCUUUGCCCUCCAGUCAAGACCACCCCACUUCUGAUGCAAUAGGGGUUCAAUCUGUCCUCUCAUGGCACUGGCUUGCGAGAUAACUGAUGGCUGAACUGAUGGAGCUCAUUGGAUUGCAUAGGAUUGUGUCUAUCAUGUGUUGGAUAUUAGGGCAGCCUGGCAAGAGGUGAGGGUGCCAGCUGUUGGGUCUUGUGAUCCUGAUUAGAUUGUUGUUUCAGUGUUGAUUGUGUCUAGGAGCAGAGGUGACCUGGGGCUGGGGAGGGAAAAGAUGAUCACCCUUGUGAUCACCCUCCUUUCGCACCCAAACACCUCGCGGAGCUCAACCGUUCGCCAGCUGAUCUUUUGAAGGAUCUCUCUCUCUUUCUGUCUGCAUUGCCUCUCUUUUAACGUCUUGUGUGUCCUUGGUGGUACCUCUCUUUCCCUCUCCUCUCCCCUUUCUGUUUGUAUCUGUCCCUUUUUCUGUCUCUCUCUCGUUUUCUCUUUUUCUCUCUCUCUGCUAUAAGUUAAAGGAGUGAAGGAGUGUUUUAUGCAUCAGUCAUGCUUCAGUACCAGUGAGUGAUUAAAGGAAAGUAUAUGGGCCACAUUGUGAAGUUACAAAGUGGGUGUGAUUCUCCACUUCAACUGCCAGCUUCAAUUCAUUUCUGCAGAGUUGAUUUGGACUGAAAUGACACUUUGUGUGUUGGUUGGUCAGUUUCCAGAAUUGGUUUUGAUUAAGUAAGUACCCAAUGAUGGGGCACAUAGCAAUCUAAUAGUGCUUGUAAUGAAAGUGCAUUUCAAAAGUUAAGGGAUGGCAAAAUGAGUAUGAUGGUGUGUGUGGAGGCUAUAACAUUAAGUGUAACCUAACAAGAAAAUAGUCACAUUGGGUAUAGGAAUAAUAACAAUGUUUGCCUCAGCAUAUUAUGCUGGCGUUGUGAUCUGGUGAGCAGAGGACAAAAUAGGAAAUGUUGAGUUUGUAAAAGAUGUUGUCAAACCUGAUUUUGUUUCCGUCAAAUUGAGUUAGUGAGUGACUAAGCAGAAAAUAUAUAUAUAUUUUUUUUAACUAUAUUUUGGUAUUUUGUUAAUUAGUCCGAUGUUGAAAAACGCAUCAUCAUGUUGUGGCAAAUGACACUUUGCUUCUUGAAAGUCCAAUGUCUUAAACUUGACUACUGACAUGGAAAACAUUUUGUGGGCUAAUAAAAAAAUACCAAAAGAUUGUUUUUUUGUGGAUUUUUCCAUUAACCUUUAGGAUGAGUUGUUGCAAUUUGCUGCCAAAAGCUGCCCAACUGAUCCUUCGCUAAACCCCGCCCCAGACUUUUGGGCAACCAACUGCAGCUCUCCAAUGAAUAGCAACUGUCCUCGAGUCCAACACCUCGGACAAGUUCACAUUUAAAUUGCAUGAAAGCCAGUGAGGGAUAUGGCAAAAACUGAGUGUUAAAAAAAAAAAAAUGCUUGAAUAGCUAAAUAAUUUAACAAUGCACCAGGAUGAUGAUAAUAGUUAGGUGGGUGCUUUUAUUUAUCCUAUUUCACAAAUGUAUUUUUUGCAUAUCCCAACUCCCCCUGACACACCCUUGGAGAGUAG